rnacentral:rRNA from 1 species
CCUACGGGGGGCAGCAGUGGGGAAUAUUGCACAAUGGGCGCAAGCCUGAUGCAGCCAUGCCGCGUGUGUGAAGAAGGCCUUCGGGUUGUAAAGCACUUUCAGCGGGGAGGAAGGCGGUGAGGUUAAUAACCUCAUCGUUUGACGUUACCCGCAGAAGAAGCACCGGCUAACUCCGUGCCAGCAGCCGCGGUAAUACGGGGGUGCAAGCGUUAAUCGGAAUUACUGGGCGUAAAGCGCACGCAGGCGGUCUGUCAAGUCGGUUGUGAAAUCCCCGGGCUCAACCUGGGAACUGCAUUCGAAACUGGCAGGCUAGAGUCUUGUAGAGGGGGGUAGAAUUCCAGGUGUAGCGGUGAAAUGCGUAGAGAUCUGGAGGAAUACCGGUGGCGAAGGCGGCCCCCUGGACAAUGACUGACGCUCAGGUGCGAAAGCGUGGGGAGCAAACAGGAUUAGAUACCCGUGUAGUC